UACGUAGGGACCAAGCGUUGUUCGGAUUUACUGGGCGUAAAGGGCGCGUAGGCGGCAUAGUCAGUCACUCGUGAAAUCUCCGGGCUUAACUCGGAACGGUCAAGUGAUACUGCUGUGCUAGAGUGCAGAAGGGGCAAUCGGAAUUCUUGGUGUAGCGGUGAAAUGCGUAGAUAUCAAGAGGAACACCUGAGGUGAAGACGGGUUGCUGGGCUGACACUGACGCUGAUGCGCGAAAGCCAGGGGAGCAAACGGG
rnacentral:rRNA from 1 species